rnacentral:rRNA from 1 species
CUUAUCAUGCAGUCGAGCGGACUGAUUAGAAGCUUGCUUCUAUGACGUUAGCGGCGGACGGGUGAGUAACACGUGGGCAACCUGCCUGUAAGACUGGGAUAACUUCGGGAAACCGAAGCUAAUACCGGAUAGGAUCUUCUCCUUCAUAGGAGAUGAUUGAAAGAUGGUUUCGGCUAUCACUUACAGAUGGGCCCGCGGUGCAUUAGCUAGUUGGUGAGGUAACGGCUCACCAAGGCAACGAUGCAUAGCCGACCUGAGAGGGUGAUCGGCCACACUGGGACUGAGACACGGCCCAGACUCCUACGGGAGGCAGCAGUAGGGAAUCUUCCGCAAUGGACGAAAGUCUGACGGAGCAACGCCGCGUGAGUGAUGAAGGCUUUCGGGUCGUAAAACUCUGUUGUUAGGGAAGAACAAGUACGAGAGUAACUGCUCGUACCUUGACGGUACCUAACCAGAAAGCCACGGCUAACUACGUGCCAGCAGCCGCGGUAAUACGUAGGUGGCAAGCGUUAUCCGGAAUUAUUGGGCGUAAAGCGCGCGCAGGCGGUUUCUUAAGUCUGAUGUGAAAGCCCACGGCUCAACCGUGGAGGGUCCUUGGAAACUGGGGAACUUGAGUGCAGAAGAGAAAAGCGGAAUUCCACGUGUAGCGGUGAAAUGCGUAGAGAUGUGGAGGAACACCAGUGGCGAAGGCGGCUUUUUGGUCUGUAACUGACGCUGAGGCGCGAAAGCGUGGGGAGCAAACAGGAUUAGAUACCCUGGUAGUCCACGCCGUAAACGAUGAGUGCUAAGUGUUAGAGGGUUUCCGCCCUUUAGUGCUGCAGCUAACGCAUUAAGCACUCCGCCUGGGGAGUACGGUCGCAAGACUGAAACUCAAAGGAAUUGACGGGGGCCCGCACAAGCGUGGAGCAUGUGGUUUAAUUCGAAGCACCCCGAAAAACCUUACCAGGUCUUGACAUCCUCUGACAACUCUAGAGAUAGAGCGUUCCCCU